CCUACGGGAGGCUGCAGUGGGGAAUAUUGGACAAUGGGGGGAACCCUGAUCCAGCCAUGCCGCGUGUGUGAAGAAGGCCCUCGGGUUGUAAAGCACUUUCAGUGAGGAAGAACGCCUGGUGGUUAAUACCCAUCAGGAAAGACAUCACUCACAGAAGAAGCACCGGCUAACUCCGUGCCAGCAGCCGCGGUAAUACGGAGGGUGCGAGCGUUAAUCGGAAUUACUGGGCGUAAAGCGCGCGUAGGUGGCUUGAUAAGCCGGUUGUGAAAGCCCCGGGCUCAACCUGGGAACGGCAUCCGGAACUGUCAAGCUAGAGUGCAGGAGAGGACAGUAGAAUUCCCGGUGUAGCGGUGAAAUGCGUAGAGAUCGGGAGGAAUACCAGUGGCGAAGGCGGCCUUCUGGACUGACACUGACACUGAGGUGCGAAAGCGUGGGUAGCAAACAGGAUUAGAUACCCCUGUAGUC
rnacentral:rRNA from 1 species